rnacentral:tmRNA from 1 species
GGGGCUGAUUCUGGAUUCGACGGGAUUUGCGAAACCCAAGGUGCAUGCCGAGGGGCGGUUGGCCUCGUAAAAAGCCGCAAAAAAUAGUCGCAAACGACGAAAACUACGCUUUAGCAGCUUAAUAACCUGCUUAGAGCCCUCUCUCCCUAGCCUCCGCUCUUAGGACGGGGAUCAAGAGAGGUCAAACCCAAAAGAGAUCGCGUGGACCCUGCCUGGGGUUGAAGCGUUAAAACUUAAUCAGGCUAGUUUGUUAGUGGCGUGUCCGUCCGCAGCUGGCAAGCGAAUGUAAAGACUGACUAAGCAUGUAGUACCGAGGAUGUAGGAAUUUCGGACGCGGGUUCAACUCCCGCCAGCUCCACCA